AUCAACUUGAGAGUUUGAUCCUGGCUCAGAACGAACGCUGGCGGCAUGCCUAACACAUGCAAGUCGAACGAUA
rnacentral:rRNA from 1 species